UACGAAGGGGGCUAGCGUUGCUCGGAAUCACUGGGCGUAAAGGGUGCGUAGGCGGGUCUUUAAGUCAGGGGUGAAAUCCUGGAGCUCAACUCCAGAACUGCCUUUGAUACUGAGGAUCUUGAGUUCGGGAGAGGUGAGUGGAACUGCGAGUGUAGAGGUGAAAUUCGUAGAUAUUCGCAAGAACACCGGUGGCGAAGGCGGCUCACUGGCCCGAUACUGACGCUGAGGCGCGAAAGCGUGGGGAGCAAACGGG
rnacentral:rRNA from 1 species